rnacentral:ncRNA from 1 species
GGGUCCAGAACAGAAAACAGAUUCUGGAGGCAUAAAAGAAGGAUAGUCGGGCCACUACCU